UUGCACUUCUGCAGCAAAUAUAGUAAAAUUGGAAGAGUUCAGAGGGGAUUAGCAUGGUACUGAGAAAGGAUAACAUGAAAAUUUUGAAUCGUUCCAUAUUUUC
ensembl:snRNA U6 U6 spliceosomal RNA